UAGGGAAUCUUCCGCAAUGGACGCAAGUCUGACGGAGCAACGCCGCGUGAGUGAAGAAGGAUUUCGGUUCGUAAAACUCUGUUGUUAGAGAAGAACAGCGCAUAGAGUAACUGUUAUGCGUGUGACGGUAUCUAACCAGAAAGCCACGGCUAACUACGUGCCAGCAGCCGCGGUAAUACGUAGGUGGCAAGCGUUGUCCGGAUUUAUUGGGCGUAAAGCGAGCGCAGGCGGUCAGUUAAGUCUGAUGUGAAAGCCCCCGGCUCAACCGGGGAGGGUCAUUGGAAACUGGUUGACUUGAGUGCAGAAGAGGAGAGUGGAAUUCCAUGUGUAGCGGUGAAAUGCGUAGAUAUAUGGAGGAACACCAGUGGCGAAGGCGACUCUCGGGUCUGUAACUGACGCUGAGGCUCGAAAGCGUGGGUAGCAAACAGG
rnacentral:rRNA from 1 species